AAAUUGAAGAGUUUGAUCAUGGCUCAGAUUGAACGCUGGCGGCAGGCCUAACACAUGCAAGUCGAACGGUAACAGGAAUCAGCUUGCUGAUUUGCUGACGAGUGGCGGACGGGUGAGUAAUGUCUGGGAA
rnacentral:rRNA from 1 species